AAUUGUGUGUGGCACACGUUUAACAUAGUUUACUUUGUUUUUGGUGUGUGUUUCACACAAUUAACAUACACGCAAAUUCCAGAUAACACAGAUCUGUGUAAAAAAAUUACACAGAUUGUAGAACAUGUUCUAGCUGUCAAAACUGUGUAGUUUUAUAACACAGAUCUGUGUAAAAAGUUACACAGAUUUCCGAUCAGCUUUCCUUUCAAAUCUGGGUAAAAAAAGGAAAAGCUAAGAUGGCGUCGCUCUUGCAGCAAAUUUUUACUUAUCAACAAACUGAUCAUCAUAUGCACCGUAAACCCAUGGGGCGCAGUGGUCGUAUUUGGAUUCAAGUUGUCUCACACACACUGAAUUCCUCCGACGUGGUGCUUUUGGGGAACCUCGGAAGUCCAGAGCCCCGGAACUCGAGCCCGCGCUAACCAUUUUCCCAGUUCCGGUUCCAAGCGGAGAGUUCCAUAGACAGCACUAGUAAACGGACACUGUCAGCUUUUCCGGACCGGGGUAGUACGCUGAGUGGUCAAAUAUUUAGUUUAUGUUGUCUUAUGUAUAAAACCCAAAACAAAGAUUAAUAAAUGAUAUUAUAAUUUUUACUUGU